UACCUCAAAAUUCCGCAACAGUCUGUUUCAUCAGUAAAGAAUCAUACUGUCUGAUGAUUCUUUACUGAUGAAACAGACUGUUGCGGAAUUU